rnacentral:rRNA from 1 species
CCGCCGGCGACCGGCGCAACGGGUGAGUAACACGUAUGCAACCUGGCCGUGACAGAUGGAUAACCGGGAGAAAUCCCGCCUAAUACAACAUAAUGCCGGGAGGGGACAUCCCCUGCCGGCCAAAGGGGGCGACCCCGGUCACGGAUGGGCAUGCGGCGCAUUAGGUAGUUGGUGGGGCAACGGCCCACCAAGCCGACGAUGCGUAGGGGUUCUGAGAGGAAGGUCCCCCACAUUGGAACUGAGACACGGUCCAAACUCCUACGGGAGGCAGCAG